rnacentral:lncRNA from 1 species
CAGUUAUAAGAGCAGACACAGGUGCUAAAGAAUGACUGGCAGUGAAGAGAACUGUCAAAUGGGGGACCAAGACUUAGGUGGCUGUGUCAGAGGACAAUAGAAAGAGAAUAAACAGACCUUUAGCACCACCCUGAAUCACCUCUUUCCAUGCAUUUGUGAGUAGAUAAAAUACUUGUUCACUUUCUCACACAUUCAAAGACAGAGGGUGGUACAUAGGGGAUGUCUGAAUGCAGAAAUGCGAUAUAGUCUCUAUCUCCAAUGUCAAGAUACUGGGAGCAUUUUUUUAAUCUUGUGCUGUGUUUUUUAACUUUUGAACUAUUUGAUGGCAGCCCCUCUGCCUUUGCAGGCUGAGAACAAGAGCAUGGGAAGAUAAAGAACUUGAUGACUUCAGCCAUCUGCUGUUCAACGACGUUUUCCAUUACAAACCUUGUGAACAGAAGGGAGCUGCAGAAGGCUAAGUCUGUCGGGUGCAGGAGCACAGAACUUUUUAGUUACUGAAAGUCCCAGUGGGACUUUUUAAUAGAACCAAGAUGUCUUGAUGAAUGGGAGAUGCACCUUUGCGUGCCUAAAUACCCUUCCAUCUACUACCAAAAGGGCCCAAGUAUGAGGAUGAGGGUCCAGACAUUUCCAACUUUCUCCCACAGUCCACAGCAAAUGUUGCAGGGAGAGGCAUUGUGUCUGGACAGAUCAGUACAGUUUUCCUAUACAAUUCUUUUUUGUGUGUGUAUGUGUAUGUGUUAGGCCAAUAUCAAACAACUCAAUUACAUUUCUCUUCCAGGAAGAAGAUUAAAAAUCAUCAGAGCAAACACCAUGAGUUGGAAGUAAAAAGGCUUCAGACAUCAUCAUCAAAGGAUCCUUGCCUCAGCACAGGCUUGGCACUGGGGAAAUCCCAAAGUAAAGCUUGUGGAGGGGACUGUUUCAGUAGAAGAGCGCUGCUGUUGACUGACAGAGUUGAGUCACUCUUCCCAGAAGGGUUCAAAAAGAGGUCAGACAUAUUAACUGCAGAGAAAACAAGCUAAAUCUGUAAUUGAAUUACUUUAAUCUAUACCAUCCCCUUCUAGCAUAUUUUAUUUUCACAAUCAACCAACCAAGCAGCUGGCUUUUCAGCAUUUGCUUCCCCCCCACCCCUUUGUUUACACUCCUUUCUAGCUAUUAUAAUUCGUGUCAGUGUUAAAAGGCUUUGACUGAGGUUCUGCCCUGUUUUAUUACUGUACCUCCCUGCAAGAGGAGGAUCUUUGCCCUGAAAGUUUGCAAUUGAUAAGGGCAGGCCGUACAGGGCUGAGAGAAAGGGAGGACUCUCUCUUUUGAUUAAGGAAGAGCUCACCUACAGCAAAAUCAAGUGAUUCAUCCAAGCUUACUUGGAAAACAAAGCUGCCCAGCCUUUCCAGCCCUUACCUAGGGCUCUGAACACAAGGUGCUCUUGCUGUACUUGCCUGCUUUCCUCUUGUUGGAAAUCGGAUGGUGGUGGUGUAAACUUUGCUCAGGGAGCAUUCAGGUGGCCUUCGUUAAUACAAAUUAAAGAUGUUCUAAGUACCCUAACUCUGCAUGGUUUCCUCUGUUGGCAGUCCUGCCAGUCAUAGUUCUGCUGACUUCCCAAUCUUGUGCUAGUAAAACACAUUUUCCCUCUGAAGUGUUUGAGAGUGUUCUGACUUUCUUCAGGA